rnacentral:misc_RNA from 1 species
GAUGAAGAACGUAGUGAAAUGCGAUAAGUAAUGUGAAUUGCAGAAUUCAGUGAAUCAUCGAAUCUUUGAACGCACAUUGCGCCCGCCAGUAUUCUGGCGGGCAUGCCUGUUCGAGCGUCAUUUCAACCAUCAAGCCCCCGGCUUGUGUUGGGGACCUGCGGCUGCCGCAGGCCCUGAAAAGCAGUGGCGGGCUCGCUGUCACACCGAGCGUAGUAGCAUACAUCUCGCUCUGGGCGUGCUGCGGGUUCCGGCCGUUAAACCACCUUCAUAACCCAAGGUUGACCUCGGAUCAGGUAGGAAGACCCGCUGAACUUAAGCAUAUCAAAAGCGGAGGA